AUUGAACGCUGGCGGCAGGCCUAACACAUGCCAGUCGAGCGAGCGGCGGACGGGUGAGUAAUGUCUGGGAAACUGCCUGAUGGAGGGGGAUAACUACUGGAAACGGUAGCUAAUACCGCAUACCCUAAGAUUCGCCCAGUUGGGAUUAGCUAGUAGGUGGGGUAAUGGCUCACCUAGGCGACGAUCCCUAGCUGGUCUGCGAGGAUGCCCAGCCACACGGGAACUGAGACACGUUCCAGACUCCUACGGGAGGCAGCAGCGGGGAAUAGUGCACAAUGGGCGCAAGCCUGAUGCAGCCAUGCCGCGUGUAUGAAGAAGGCCUUCGGGUUGUAAAGUACUGUCAGCGGGGAGGCGUUACCCGCAGAAGAAGCACCGGCUAACGCCGUGCCAACAGCCGCGGUAAUAC
rnacentral:rRNA from 1 species